ACAAGUUCAAAAUGCAUUAUCGAAGCAUGGGUUGCUGAUCUCCACAAGCAUAUCACAUGAAAAGGAGUUUCUUCAAAUCGCUCACAGCCAUACAAAGAUGUUCGACCUCUACAAAUCAUCCACACGAAGAACGAAUACUGAUUAGGCUCCUCGGGAGUGCUAGCUCGUAAAGAUCUUUAAAGGCUGAUCUUCUUCUUCUUCUGAUCUCUUAGAUACUCUAAAGAGGGAGAAAAAUUAAUGGAGGAAGAGAGGAGAGGAGAGAGCAUCGUAGAAGAAA
rnacentral:lncRNA from 1 species